rnacentral:rRNA from 1 species
AUGGCUACUGAAAGACAUGCUGGCAAAAUAUACACCAGAGCAAUGUUCGAGCAAUUUGGACAUAUAAUAUACGAAUGUGGUGCUUACCAACUAGAAGAGGUAGAAAAAGGGAAAACAUGCGUUCCAAUCCAUACGGGUGCAGCUCGGAGAGAGAAAUGGUGCAGGAUUUCAUACAAGGUUACUGUCGUCGACGGUGGGGACGAAUUUGACUGCGAAUGUGGACAAUUCACUCACAUGGGAAUGCUGUGCAGCCAUAUUCUGAAGGUUCUAGACUUCAUCCGCGUGGCAGAAAUACCGAAGAAACAUAUAGUGAAGAGGUGGACAAGAGAUGCGAGGGACAUCCUGCCUCCACACCUUUGCCAGUACCAGAAGGACAAUGCUAACAGCAACAACCCCUUCAGUUACAGGCAUUUCAAUAUGUACAUGCAAGCGAUGGAGCUAGUCCGAAUGGGGGAUGCAAGUGUGCAAGCAUAUGACCGCCUCGUUGCACUGUUCAAGCAUUGUGCUGAAGAAAUGAAGCCAUACACGGAGAUUAGAGACGGCCUUGGCCUGGAGGACCGGAUGGCUAAAAUGGGAUUGUUGUCAACCAAAAUCCGGCAGAAGCUGAUCGACUAG